rnacentral:rRNA from 1 species
AUUGAACGCUGGCGGAAUGCUUUACACAUGCAAGUCGAACGGCAGCACGGACUUCGGUCUGGUGGCGAGUGGCGAACGGGUGAGUAACAUAUCGGAACGUAUCCAAUAAUGGGGGAUAACUAAUCGAAAGGUUGGCUAAUACCGCAUACGCCCUACGGGGGAAAGCUAGGGACCUUCGGGCCUGGCGUUAAUGGAGCGGCCGAUAUCUGAGUAGCUAGUUGGUGGGGUAAAGGCCCACCAAGGCGACGAUCAGUAGCUGGUCUGAGAGGACGACCAGCCACACUGGAACGGAGACACGGUCCAGACUCCUACGGGAGGCAGCAGUGGGGAAUUUUGGACAAUGGGCGUAAGCCUGAUCCAGCCAUUCCGCGUGAGUGAAGAAGGCCUUCGGGUUGUAAAGCUCUUUCGCAAGGGAAGAAAACUCAGCCCCUAACAUAGGCUGAGGUUGACGGUACCUUGAUAAGAAGCACCGGCUAACUACGUGCCAGCCGCCGCCGUAA